rnacentral:rRNA from 1 species
UUCGGAAUAACUCAGAGAAAUUUGAGCUAAUACCGGAUAAUGUCUUCGGACCAAAGAUUUAUCGCCUUUAGAUGGGCCCGCGUUAGAUUAGAUAGUUGGUGGGGUAAUGGCCUACCAAGUCGACGAUCUAUAGCUGGUCUGAGAGGAUGAUCAGCCACACUGGGACUGAGACACGGCCCAGACUCCUACGGGAGGCAGCAGUGGGGAAUAUUGGACAAUGGGCGAAAGCCUGAUCCAGCAAUGCCGCGUGAGUGAUGAAGGCCUUAGGGUUGUAAAGCUCUUUUACCAGGGAUGAUAAUGACAGUACCUGGAGAAUAAGCUCCGGCUAACUCCGUGCCAGCAGCCGCGGUAAUACGGAGGGAGCUAGCGUUGUUCGGAAUUACUGGGCGUAAAGCGCGCGUAGGCGGCUUUUUAAGUCAGGGGUGAAAUCCCGGGGCUCAACCCCGGAACUGCCCUUGAAACUGGAUGGCUAGAAUACUGGAGAGGUGAGUGGAAUUCCGAGUGUAGAGGUGAAAUUCGUAGAUAUUCGGAAGAACACCAGUGGCGAAAG